AACAUACUCCCUCCGUCCGGAAAUACUUGUCAUCAAAAUGAAUAAAAGGGGUUGUACUAGAUAUAUAUUAGGUCUAGAUACAUCUCUUAUUAUCCAUUUUGAUGACAAGUAUUUUCGGACAGAGGGAGUACCAU
rfam:Triticum aestivum genome assembly, contig: Triticum_aestivum_CS42_TGACv1_scaffold_147758_2BS